UCACCAAGGCAGUGGGUGGCAUUCGAGUUGAGACCUGUGCAAUAAGGAGCCAGCCAUGGGAAACCAAGUGCUUUGGACAAACAGAAUGAUAUGAUGAUUUUGGUGGUUUUGGUUUGUUUGUGUCUAGUAAAGUAUUGCCUUAAAGGUGAUGAACAAGUUGCCAAGCUAUCUUCUACAAUAGGCAAGCCUCGAGUGAUAAAAUAAACACACACUCAACCUUCAGCUUGUUUCCUGUGUGAGGUGAUAAAAGCAUUUUCUAGUCAUCUCUGUGUUCUCAUUCAGAAGAGGGAGGUGAGUUCCCCAUAAUUCAAUAAGCAACUCUACAAAGAAGGAAUGCCUUGGCCCACCCUUAGAGGACAGCAUUAAUUUUUAUGGUCAAGGGUUAGAGCAAAAUUCUACUUUCCUUAGGAAGUUUUUCUCCUUGGUUUGCCUGGGAUGAACUCACUCUUGUCUUCAAUUCUAACGCUCUUUCUCUCAUCUUCAUGCCUUUGUGCUGUUAUAACACACCUGCUUGAACUUUGAUGGGGAUAUCUUUUUCCAGAAAAGGUACUCCAAUAUCAUUUGGGGAGAAGCAGAAGAAUCAAGACCAGGAAAUCCAAAUGAACAAGUCCCGGGCACCAUGCCAUACCCACAACGUGGCACUGGGUAUAUGCUGAUCUGCUGUGGAGUCAGCACUAAAACCCCUUCUCAGAACCAAGAUAACCAUCAAGUUAUCUAACGACUAGGUAAGUAAAGGAGUUGAAAUUUCAAGAGAGAUUUUUGAAGUACUCUAUUUGUUAAUAAUUUCUUUCCCGAAAGCUUUUUUUCUAUAAAAACUUCCAUGCUUGGAGUAGAACUGGAUAGGAAAUGUAAAAUAAACUCGACGCACCGUUGAACAUUAGCUCUAUAAUUCUAAUCUGGAUUGAGAUCGAAGAUUUAGAACUAAACCCCUCUGAAAGAGCAGUGCAGAGAAUGUUACUAAGGACAAGGUUGCAUGCUCGAAGUGGCCCUGGAUAACAUCUGCCAUUCAUACAAUGUGAGGUUUAAAGGUAGACUAGAAUAUAGAAUUGAGGCCAGAGAGAGGCAAGUUCAGGUGAAAAGGGAAAGAUAACAACAUAGCCUAUUGCACUGUAUGUGAGACCAUCUACCUGUUACAACCAUAAAUUUGGUUAGAGGAGAAGUGGGCUCUGGUUUCACAUUUCUUUGCAAGUAUCUUCAUUUUUGUGGGCAGGAAAUUUUAUUGCCAGGUUAAGAUUUUAACUGAGUGAAUCUCAGCAAUGGUACGUCUAUUCUGUAAGCGCAGUUUUCUGUGUUGAUCAUGUGGAAAGUCCAUGAAAGGACCAUGAGAACUCACACAGAGGAAGGGCAAGAGCUCUCUAGUCCCUUGCAUGUAGAAUGUGGAACUGGUGGUUACUGCAAAAAUAACAUUAUUAUCUAAGACUCUUUCUAAGAGGGAGAAAG
rnacentral:lncRNA from 1 species